CAGAUAUGUCUGAGAAGUCAACAUCAACAGAGCCCCAAAUUGUGAGGACACCAGGACCGGGAACAAUUAAAGGAGAUAGAGUGGAUUUCACAUUGGAUGACAAAACAGCUCCUGCUUUCCUGAAAGUCAAAGGCAAUUCAGUCACAUGUAAAGACCCAGACAAAAUGGCUGCUGAGGGAACCCAGCACCCUCAUGUUCUGUGUAAAGAGAGACUCAGCUCACACCAGCACUACUGGGAGGUGAGAGGGGAUAGUAUAUUGGCACUGCUACCUGAUCUACGACUCAGGCAGUCCUGGUAUGUGGGAGUGUGCACAUCCACAGCAGCAGCAA